GACGUAGGGCGCGAGCGUUUGUCCGGAUUUAUUGGGCGUAAAGAGCUCGUAGGCGGCUUGUCGCGUCGUCCGUGAAAACCCACAGCUCAACUGUGGGCUUGCGGUCGAUACGGGCAGGCUAGAGUUCGGUAGGGGGAGACUGGAAUUCCUGGUGUAGCGGUGAAAUGCGCAGAUAUCAGGGAGGGAACACCCGGUGGCGA
rnacentral:rRNA from 1 species